rnacentral:rRNA from 1 species
UAAACGGACCAUCGAGUAUCCAUUGGAGGGCAAGUCUGGUGCCAGCAGCUGCGGUAAUACCAGCUCCAAUAGCGUAUAUUAGAGUUGUUGCAGUUAAAAAGCUCGUAGUUGGACUUGUGUGCGCUGUCCGCGGGUGGCCUGCGCCCAAAAGGGCGUUUCGGUUCGGCCCCGGUGGCGCCUUGAAAUCUGCAGCUGGGGGGACGUUGGCCUUAACUGGUCGGCGACCGCACGCCGGCUGCUCGGUUACUGUGAGAAAAUUAGAGUGUUCAAGGCAGGCAUUGGGUGCAAUUGAAUACAUUAGCAUGAAUAAUAAAAUAUGGCUCCUGCCGUAUUUUGUUGGUUUUGACUGGUGGGAGUAAUGAUUGAUAGGGACGGUUGGGGGUGCUAGUAUUGAGCGGCCAGAGGUGAAAUUCAUGGAUUCGCUCAAGACUAACUUAUGCGAAAGCAUUCACCAAGGACGUCCUCUUUAAUCAAGAACGAAAGUUGGGGGAUCGAAGACGAUCAGAUACCGUCGUAGUCUCAACCAUAAACUAUGUCGACUUGGGAUCGGCGGUAGUUUUUUCAUUAAGACACUGUCGGGACCACGGGAGAAAUCAAAGUGUCUGGACUCUGGGGGAAGUAUGGUCGCAAGGCUGAAACUUGAAGGAAUUGACGGAAGGGCACCACCAGGAGUGGAGCCUGCGGCUUAAUUUGACCCAACACGGGGAAACUUACCAGGUCCAGAGAUGUAGAGGAUUGACAGAUUGAAGCUCUUUCUUGAUCACUUCGGUGGUGGUGCAUGGCCGUUCUUAGUUGGUGGAGUGAUUUGUCUGGUUAAUUCCGUUAACGAACGAGACCUCAGCCUGCUAGUGUAGUCGGCUGGAUUGCCUUUGGCGAUCCGUGAUUUCGACUUCUUAGAGGGACAAUCGACGCGCAGUCGAUGGAAGUUUGAGGCAAUAACAGGUCUGUGAUGCCCUUAGAUGUUCUGGGCCGCACGCGCGCUACACUGCUGGGCUCAGCGAGUUUUACUUGGCCGAGAGGCCCGGUUAAUCUUGUGAAAUCCAAGCGUGCUUGGGCUCGCCUCCUGCAACUGGAGGCGCCAACGAGGAAUUCCUAGUAGACGCAGGUCAUCAACCUGCAUCGAUUACGUCCCUGCCCUUUGUACACACCGCCCGUCGUUCCAUAAGAGUGAGGCAUCCGGUGAAUUCUCGGGAGAGCCUGGGCGUGGCCAGCAAUGGUCUGCUCGGGUUUGAACUUGCAUAAACUUGGUGCCUAUGAUUAGGG